GGGUCCUCGGUUAAUGGGACCCCCAGGUACUAGGACUGCCAGGUAGUGGGGUCUCCAGUUACUUGGGUCCUUGGUGAAUGGGACCCCCAGGUAUUGGGAUCUGUUACUGGGGUCCUUGGUUAAUGGGACCCCCAUGUAUUGGGACCCCCGAUGAACAAGACCCCCAGCUCCUGGGAGCUCCAGUGAAUGGGACCCCUGGCUAAUGGGACCCGCAGUCAAUGGGAUGUGUGGUUAACGGGACCCCUGCUUACGGGGACCCUCCAUUUCUGACGCGUCGCUCAUUGGGCCCCUCAUUAAUGGCACCCCGGUUUUUGGGGUCCUCAGGAACCGGGACCCCCAAUCAUUGGGGC
ensembl:lncRNA